rnacentral:rRNA from 1 species
GUCUCUAUCCGCUGUGGGCGUAAGGGAUUUGAAGGGAGCUGCUCCUAGUACGAGAGGACCGGAGUGGACAGACCUCUAGUGUGCCAGUUGUUCCGCCAGGAGCAUCGCUGGGUAGCCAUGUCUGGCAGAGAUAACCGCUGAAAGCAUCUAAGUGGGAAACUCGCCCUAAGAUUAGAUCCCUGUAUUCCCGUAAGGGAGUAAGACCCCAGGUAGACUACCUGGUAUAUAGGCAGGGUGUGUAAGCGCAGCAAUGCGUUCAGCUAACCUGUACUAAUGGUCGAGGGCUUCAUCCU